ensembl:snRNA U6 U6 spliceosomal RNA
GUGCUUGCUUUGGCAGCACGUUUAGUAAAAUUGCAAUGAUACAGAGAUUAGCGUGGCCCCUGCACAAGGAGGACAUGCAAAUUCAUGAAGUGUUCCAUAUUUUA